rnacentral:rRNA from 1 species
CAUUAUCCAUCUCACACACCUGUGCACAUACUGUAGGUCGCUUUUGAUUGGAGUGGGGUCUUCAUCGACUCUGCUUUUUAGUUGGGGCCUUCCUAUGUUUUAUCACACACUACUUCAGUUAAAAGAAUGUCCUCUUGCGUCUAACGCAUUUAAAUACAACUUUCAGCAACGGAUCUCUUGGCUCUCGCAUCGAUGAAGAACGCAGCGAAAUGGCGAUAAGUAAUGUGAAUUGCAGAAUUCAGUGAAUCAUCGGAAUCUUUGAACGGCACCUUGCGGCUCCUUGGUAUUCCGAGGGAGCAUGCCUGUUUGAGUGUCAUGGAAUUCUCAACUCUAUUUGCUUUUGUGAAUAGAGCUUGGACUGGGAGGGUUUAUUGCCGGUACCUGUGAUCGGCUCCUCUGGAAUGCAUUAGCUCGAACCUUUUGUGGAUCAGCUUAUCGGUGUGAUAAAAUGUCUACGCCGUUACUGUGAAGCAUAUUAUUCGGCUUCCAAUCGUCCUUC